GUGGGGAAUAUUGGACAAUGGGGGGAACCCUGAUCCAGCCAUGCCGCGUGUGUGAAGAAGGCCUUUUGGUUGUAAAGCACUUUAAGCGAGGAGGAGGCUCUCUUGGUUAAUACCUGAGAAGAGUGGACGUUACUCGCAGAAUAAGCACCGGCUAACUCUGUGCCAGCAGCCGCGGUAAUACAGAGGGUGCGAGCGUUAAUCGGAUUUACUGGGCGUAAAGCGCGCGUAGGUGGCUAAUUAAGUCAAAUGUGAAAUCCCCGAGCUUAACUUGGGAAUUGCAUUCGAUACUGGUUGGCUAGAGUAUGGGAGAGGAUGGUAGAAUUCCAGGUGUAGCGGUGAAAUGCGUAGAGAUCUGGAGGAAUACCGAUGGCGAAGGCAGCCAUCUGGCCUAAUACUGACACUGAGGUGCGAAAGCAUGGGGAGCAAACAGGAUUAGAUACCCGUGUAGUCC
rnacentral:rRNA from 1 species